rnacentral:tRNA from 1 species
CUUGGUGUCAUCAAACGGAGUACGAACUACUAAGGUUUUGUUAUCAAAAUGUUGAUUGCUUUCGAUAAUAACUGCUACUUUUCAUUUCUUUAAACGAUAGUGUGGUGGAUGGGAUCAGAUCAUAACACAUAAACUCUUAAAAUGAGUGCCAAUAAGUUUCUGGAAGUUGAUAAGGCGGCUUACAUCACGUUUGAAGCAGCAAUGCAAACGUUAGAUGUCGAGGUGAAGAAACAAAUUCAAUCCAUUAAGACAAUUUCCACUUCUAUAGAUACAUCAGUGGCACCUAAAGGGAUAAACUUCAAUAAAUCUGGCAAUAAAGGAAUAUUUAUGGGAGUCUAUGACAAUCAAAUCCAUUAUGACAACACAAAUUCCUUUAAACUAGCAAUCAAUGAAAUUUCAGAAAAGGGUGAUGUUGGUGAAAAAUUCUUUCUCACUCUACAUUCAAAGGUUGCCGAAGAGUGGAAAAACAAUGCCACAGUAAAGUUAUUUACCAAAAAAAUUGGGAAGGCCAUUAUAGUAUUUCAAAACAUUCCAUACCAAGUUAAGAGUAAAAACAUUGAAUUUCAUUUGAUGGUUCCUUCAUCAACUUGUCCUUGGAUGAAAGUCAAGCAUUACUUCUCUUCCUUUACUGAUGCUAAAUCAGAGCAAUAUGUAUAUACAUCACUCUAUGAUGCUGAAAAAAAUAUGGCCAUAACUAAGAAACCGAAAAUGAAAUGCAAUCUUUAUGCAGUCAUACAUUCUCAAAUUCAUGAACCAAAGGAAGGUAGACAAGGCAAAGGACACGGGAUGUUUGUGGUAGUUGAUCCUUCGUGCUACGAAGAUAUGGUGAAACAACGAGAGUACUGCGUUCAUGUUUUCACUUCGUCUCUUAGUGCUUUUCCCAAAAUUGAAACGGGUGACAUCAUCCGUCUACACCGCGGAUGGGCUGAAAUCAGACCAAAAGACGGUCAUACUGAUUUUCGAGUUUUUCGUGAAGAUGACCUGGUUAUAUUUCCGUGGAAUGACGAAGAAAGACCUCGGUGCUCGGCCAGUCGUUUCACUGUUACGAAAGAAGACGUUGAACUGGUUAAAAAUCUGAAAAAAUGGUCACUUGAACGAUAUCGAAAGCCAGUAGAAUCGAUACAUGCCAAUAUAGAAGCUACGGACAAGAACCCCAUCACUCUAAGUGAAAUCAAGUUGCGAGCGAACUUUAACUUGUCCUGUCGCGUUGUAGACUUUUAUGAAGAAGAAUGUGGCGUGGCAAUUUGGGUUGAAGAUGGAACACGGUGUCCGCUUUUUACAGUAAGCGACACGAAUAUAGGGCCGUAUGACUCGCAACAAACGCAAGAUAUUAAUAGUGACUGCUUUCGUAUUUGCAUUCGUUGCUCCAAAGUACUACUCGGUACUCUCACUCUAGAACGCCAAAUGCUACUCUAUCUCAGGGAAGUUGUACCAGUUAUUGAUCCUUUUCCAAGCAUCACCGUCGUGCAGUUCGAAAUCGUUGGAGCCAUCGAGUUGCUUCCUCUGAACACAAGAUAUCACAAGUCAUUGAUACAGAGACUGGCGAAAGCUAAGGAUUCCGUCGAAAAUGUCGAAUUAAAUAUCCUGCCAGCUGAAAAGAUGGACAUUCAAAUUGAAACUCAGCAACUCCCCGAACGGCAACAAGUCGAUCUUCAACCCACCAGAGAAGGGCUUUUGGACAAGGAGCCUACAGCAAUUACUGUAGAAAAGGACGUCAAUCUCGUCCCGCAACAGUUACAAAUCGAAAAAGUUGUUGCCGAAAUUUCCAAAGAUAAGAUCAGUUCUCAGAAAGACAUCAUAUCGUCUGGGGAAUGUUCUACAGACAGAGCUAUGAAAGAUAUUCCAAGCGAUUUUUUCGAUCCUGUUUCUCCUCCAUUACCACAGUUAGUUCGCGAAGACUUUGAGCGGGAAUCUCAACGUUUGCAUCGUUUAAUUCACCCUGAACUCGGCGAAGCUCAUUUGGACGACUCAGAACUGAUGAGUCGUUUCAAGUCGCAAAAUUUGGCUUCUUUCGAAGAUAUGCACUUUAGCCAAGCGGUUGCCAGCACUCAAAAACCACCUCGUUGUGUAACCGAGGUGGGCGAAUCCAACGACGCAGACCAUUCUUCUAUUUCACUUUCACAAGAAAUUCCAAACGCUCAGCGGAUCCUGAGCCCUGCAGAGUCUGAGGCUGGCGCGAGUAAAAGUGAAUUGGCAAGUCCAUCUGAUUCUCCAGUUAUCGAUUAUCAAUUCGGACAUCGUAGCCGUUCAGCAUCAAGGAGCCUCAGCCCGCAUCCAGCCUUUCGGGCCGUCAAUGAAGUUUUGGAAAUCAAAACAAAUUGUCGCUCAAAGACGAACGACUUAAGCGAACUUGAAAACGAAAAUCAGUUAAAUAUCAGUAUCGAUGCACCCUUAUUCCGUUCCCGACUUGGCAAAGGAGACCAAAUUACCCGAAAAACCAAGGAGACGCAAAGCAAACGAGUAGUGGAAAGAGUUACGUUCGGUGACGGGGACCUAGAAGAAAUUUUUCUCAUCGCAAGUAAAAGCCAAGAGCAGAAAUCUACUGUUCAAAAGAGAAAUUGCAACAUAGUUAAGGAGCAAACUAUUAGUAAGAUUCGCCGAGUCAGCAAUGAAAGCAGUAAUUCUGACAUCGUAGAAAUUGAACCGGAUGAUCUCUGCCAAGAAAUGGAUCAAGAGUCAGACAAAGAGUCGAUCAUCAUUUUGGAUCCCUCGUCUCAACUAGACCUUGAAAACAUAUUUUGUGCUGUAGAAGAGGCUCAACUUGCAAAGAAGUAUUUGCAUCAUUUGGAAGAAAAGUAUACCGUUCAACCAGGCGAACGUUUUAGAAUAACGGCAAGAAUCAGUGAACUAUUACCGAAACCGCAUUUUCCAAGCAUAGACGAUCCUGUCGGGCUAAAGAGUAUGCUUGUCGCUUUUUGCCUUGAAUGCAAACAUUUGUGGCAGUACAAUCAAUUUAUUGAUUCAGUCAGUGAUCGAGUGAUGCAACGACGAACUCUACCUCCAACGUCGACCAUACAGGACGACGGGAGUGAUUACAUUGUGGUGAACUAUCUGUGCUCUAGGGAAGAACAUACUCGAAACAUGCGCCUGCUUGUCGAAGGAACCCCCAAUAUUGACGACUACGAAUACGAUGAAAACGUCUUUCUCGAAAGAAGCUAUCACUACAUUUGUCCUUUUUGUGAUUCAAGAAAAAUCCCGCAUUCACUGUGCACUCUGAAACCGUCGUUUUUCUUACGAAUGCACGUUACUGAAAAGUCGAUCGCAAACGCCGAUAGUGAAUCUCCUACGGAGUGUCUUCAUAUUUUAGCGACGGGUGUUCACGCUGAAUACUUUCUCGGUACAAAAGCCGAUCAUGUUUUGCGAAGUCAAGUGGUUUGGAAACGUGCUGAACAACGGAUAGCAAAAUUGGUGGAGAGCAAACAACCACUUACUCUUGGUUUAAUCCGACGUGAGUCCAAUCCCAAUGAAAUUUGCCUAGAGUUUACAAAAACUGUCUUCGCUUCUAAUCAUCUACUUCCUUGGCGUUAAGAAAAAGGUUACCCCACAAUUAAUUUAUUUGUACUCUCACAGGAAACUUCAACUCUGUUUUUUCUUUAGUUUAGUUUUGUUUUAUUUCCUAUUCAUUUUCCAAAGAAAGUUAAAAUUAACUGCCACUUCGAGUUGAUUGUUUCUUGUCAAUACAGAAAUCUGAAAUUAACAAAUGAACUGGACGAGUUAUGACAUAUUUUUUAAACUCGAAUUUUCUUCUUUUCUCAGUUAUUAAAUUUACGAUUGUUACCAAGCCCAACAGAUUUCGAAUUACAGAUAAGUAAAUUUAAAAUUUGACUAAUGAAUGCGUUUCUCUUGUUUGCGUAAGUUAAGUGCCGGGUCGAAUGUGAAUUUUGAUAGGUGCUGGGUUAGUCAUGGUUUAGUUUACUUGGAAACUAUAAAAAAAUUUUAAUUGCCAGUAAAAGGAUUGCCCCGAGUGAGGCUCGAACUCACGACCUUAGGAUUACUCAUCUUAUUAUGAGACCUACGCUCUGCCAACUGAGCUAUCGGGACAUGUAAAUUUAUAUGUGAACAGAGAGUGAGCCGAGAUCAAGUAAUGUAAUUGGCAAAGCGAACGCAUAUCUUGCACAUUCACUCUUCACUUAAAUUUCAAAAUAUUUUUUUUGUACAUAGCAGCCAUGUACGAUGCAUUCUACAUUCUUACAUUCACUACAUACUACACUCAUCAUACAUUCUUGUACGGAACUACCUGGGCAAAAAUAAAAAUCACUAGGUAUA